AACAGCGUAAUUUUUUUAGAGAGUUCAUAUCGAUAAAAAAGUUUGCGACCUCGAUGUUG
rnacentral:tRNA from 1 species